UCAGCCGCCGCGGUAAUACCAGCUCUCCGAGUGGUGUGGACGUUUAUUGGGCCUAAAGCAUCCGUAGCUGGCUGAACAAGUCCCCUGUUAAACCUACCGAUUUAAUCGUUGGCGUGCGGGGGAUACUGCUUGGCUAGGGGACGAGAGAGGCAGACAGCAUUCCCGGGGUAGGGGUGAAAUCCUAUAAUCCCGAGAUGACCACCAGUGGCGAAGGCUGUCUGCUAGAACGCGCCCGACGGUGAGGGAUGAAAGCUGGGGGAGCGAACCGGAUUAGAUACCCGGGUAGUCCCAGCUGUAAACGAUGCAGACUAGGUGUUUGGACGGCCACGUGCCGUUCUAGUGCCGCAGGGAAGCUGUUAAGUCUGCCGCCUGGGGAGUACGAUCGCAAGGUUGAAACUUAAAGGAAUUGGCGGGGGAGCACA
rnacentral:rRNA from 1 species